rnacentral:rRNA from 1 species
GACGAACGCUGGCGGCGUGCUUAACACAUGCAAGUCGAACGAAGUGGCGAACGGGUGAGUAACGCGUAAUCAACCUGCCCUUCAGAGGGGGACAACAGUGGGAAACGUAUGCUAAUCCCGCAAACUGAAGGAGGGGAUUGCGUCUGAUUAGCUAGUCGGCGGGGCAACGGCCCACCAAGGCGAUGAUCAGUCGCCGGUCUUAGAGGAAGAACGGCCACAUUGGGACUGAGGAACGGCCCAGACUCCUACGGGGAGCAACAGGGGGGAAACAUUCGCAAUGGAGGAAAGUCUGACUGAGCAACGCCGCGUGAGUGAUGACGGCCUUCGGGUUUGAAAGCUCUGUUAAGCGGGACGCGGUACCGGAAUAGAAAGCCACGGCUAACUACGUGCCAGCAGCCGCGGUAAUUC